rnacentral:rRNA from 1 species
GACAGAGGGUGCAAACGUUGUUCGGAUUUACUGGGCGUAAAGCGCGUGUAGGCGGCUUGGCAAGUCGGAUGUGAAAGCCCACGGCUCAACCGUGGAAGCGCAUCCGAAACUGCUUCGCUCGAGUCUCGGAGAGGAAGGUGGAAUGCUUGGUGUAGAGGUGAAAUUCGUAGAUAUUCGGAAGAACACCAGUGGCGAAGGCGGCUCACUGGACCGGUAUUGACGCUGAGGUGCGAAAGCGUGGGGAGCAAACAGG